CGAGUUGCAUUAGCCCAGAUGGGAGAUGACAAGUGCCUGGAUUAGGACAUGCGCCACUUCCUGUGUGAGGUAGGGUCGUACACAACGUAUGUUGUAGAGCAUGAACCUGCAGGAGCGAGUCACUGUUUUGAUGUUUGCAGAGAACAACAGGGUGUUGUCCAAGGUCAUGCCAAGGUUCUUUGCACUCUGGGAGGGCGACACUGUGGAGUUGUCAACCACGAUGGAGAGGUCUUUGAGCGGGCAGGCCUUCCCCGGGAGGAACAGCAGCUCCGUCUUGUCGAGGUUGAGCUUGGGGGGGUGGGCCGACAUCCAAGCUGAGAUAUCUGCCAUGCACGCAGAGAUGUGUGUCGCCACCUGUGUGUCAGAAGGUGGGAAGGAUAAAAGUAGUUGAGUGUCAUCUGCAUAGCAAUCAUAAGAGAGACCAUGUGAGGAUAUGACAGAGCCAGCGACGUGGUGCAUAGAGAGAAGAGGAGAGGGCCUAGAAUGAAGCCCUGGGGGACACCAAUAGUGAGAGUAUGUGGUGCAGACACAGAUCCUCUCCACGUCACCUGGUAGGAGCGGCCUGAGAGUGUACAGAGCCUGUGACGCCCAGCCCUGAGGGGGUGGAGAGGAGGAUCUGAUGGUUCACGGUGUCGAAGGCAGCAGAUAGAUCUAGGAGGAUGAGAACAGAGGAGAGAGAGUCAGCUUUGGCAGAGCGGAGAGUCUCCGUGACACAGAGAAGAGCAGUCUCGGUUGAGUGACCCACCAGCCUGUCUGGUUAGAAACAAGAAGAUUGUUCUGAGAAAGAUAACGAGAGAGUUGAUCAGAGACAGCUCUCUCUCUCUCCCGCACCUGCUGUCUCGACCUCUUAAUGCUUGGCUAUGAAAAGCCAACUGACAUUUAUUCCUGAGGUGCUGACCAUCUAUACGCACCGUGAUUAGUCUUUGACCCUGCUGGUCAUCUAUGAACGUUUGAACGAUAUCUUGAAGAACGAUAUGGCCUUAAUGCCCAUGUACUUUUAUAAUCUCCACCAGGCACAGCCAGAAGAGGGCUGGUCAACCCUUAGAGCCUGGUUUCUCUCUAGGUUUCUUCCUAGGUUCCCUCCACCUUUCUAGGGAGUUUUUCGUAGAAGAGCAGCCUUCUGUUACAGCAGCAAAGGGGGGACCAACUCCAUAUUCAUGCCCAUGAUGUUGGAAUGAGAUGUUCGACGAGCAGGUGUCCAAAUAUAUUUUGGUUAUGUAGUGUACCUGGGUGAGUGUCAGACCAAAGGAGAAGGACGGGUUAUCCUAGGGGAAAUACACAACCUCAGUUUUUGUGUUGACAAGUAUUUGUUUUUUAGAUGAUCUCCUGCUGUCCAACCUCCUGGAUGCUACAUUGACAAUUCACAGAAGAGGACCCUUAGAGGGGUGUCUUUCUUUGAUGACAUGAAAAUGGCAGUCCUCCAAUGUCAGAACAACUGUGCUGAUGGAAUAGAGACAUUUUUAAAGUGGGCUUCAAGAAGCCAGUGAAUGUAACAGAGGCUUUCCCCAUCAGGGCUGACAUCCUGAAUUUGGGGAUUUCUGCACUGAUCAGGUGUUGUCUCUGCCUGUUCUUGGGAGUCAGUGGUGCCUUUGUGGUUACCCUACACUCCUGUUCUCCCUGCAUGAGCAGGAGGAUGAAGAGAUGUGUCUGCAGAGCUUCCCUGGAGAAGACCUGGAGCACUGUGGCACUCAGGACUACUUCAUAGUGUAAGACUCGAAUCAAGGGUAACCAUGGUUGACAGAGGAAGAACAAUGAUUCCAAGCACCACCCUCCUUUUGAAGCUUCCAGUCUGUUAUUCGAACUCAAUCAGCAUGACAGAGUGAUCUCCAGCCUUGUCCCCAUCAACACUCACACCUGUGUUAACGAGAGAAUCACUGACAUGAUGUCAGCUGGUCCUUUUGUGGCAGGGCUGAAAUGCAGUGGAAAUGUUUUGGGGGGAUGCGAUUGCAUUAAGAACUAGUGUAUCUAUCAUUUCCUAUACAACAUGUAUUUUCUAGUUAUGUUUAUGAAUAGUUAUUUGGUCAGAAUAUGUGAGUGCCAGAAAAAUAUCCGGACGUUGUGGGAAAAAGAUGCUACGUUAGCACAAUGUAUAACCACUGAUUUCAGCUCUAAAUAUGCACAUUUUCGAACAAAACAUAAGUGUAUGUAUAACCUGAUGUUAUAGGACUGUCAAGGUUAGUUAUCAAGGUUAGUCAAAAAUUAUAUAUCUUUUGCUGGUUUGUUACGAUCGCUAACUUUUGCUGCUGGGGAAUGGCUUGUGUUUCUGGCUAUUGUGUAAGCUAAUAUAAUGCUAUAUUGUGUUUUCGCUGUAAAACACUUAAGAAAUCGGAAAUAUUGUCUGGAAUCACAAGAUGCCUGUCUUUCAUUUGCUGUACACCAUGUAUUUUUCAGAAAUGUUUUAUGAUGAGUAUUUAGGUAUUUGACGCUGGUGUCUGUAAUUACUCUGGCUGCUUCGGUGCCAUUUCUGACGGUAGCUGCAAUGUAAAACUGAUUUAUAGCUCAAAUAUGCACAUUUUUCGAACAAAACAUAGAUUUAUUGAAUAACAUGUUAUAAGACUGUCAUCUGAUGAAGUUGUUUCUUGGUUAGUUUGGUUGGUUCUUGGUUAGUUAGGUUGGUUUUGUGCAUGCUACGUGUGCUGUGAAAAAUGUCUGUCCUUUUUUGUAUUUGGUGGUGAGCUAACAUAAAUAUACGUGGUGUUUUCGCUGUAAAACAUUUUAAAAAUCGGACAUGUUGGCUGGAUUCACAAGAUGUUUAUCUUUCAAAUGCUGUAUUGGACUUGUUAAUGUGUGAAAGUUAAAUAUUUCUAAAAAAUAUAUUUUGAAUUUCGCGCCCUGCACUUGAAGUGGCUGUUGUCAUAUUGUGCCCGGCUUCGGGCUUGCAGCCAGAAGAAGUUUUUAUGUCAAGGUGACUUACAAAGAUGAGGACCAAGCGCAAAAGAGGGAGUGCGGCAACUAAACAAUCAUUGUGGAAUCUGAAAAGACACGUAUCCCAAAAGCAUGAUGAUGUACUUACUAGGUGCUUAAAUAAAGGAAUGAGGUGGGUAGAUAACUAAGUAUGUCAUUGUAGCUGGAUUUCCAAUCGCUCAACUCAGCUCACAUGCUCUGCAUCACAAGCUUGGCGUGUUCAGCACCACAGAGAGCACCAUUUCUAUCACGCUAUUUUCAGACAGCUGGGGAGCUAUAGUUAAAAGUUGACCAAUAUCGCCUUCUUGUGUUAAACUUAGGAAAUUAAAUAAAUCUGAACGGUUGGUUUGAUUUGUAUGUUUUUUUAGAUUGCUGAGAGGAAAGGUCAAGGAUACCUCUCUUCACAACGACCAUGUCAUGUAAGUGAGAAAAUACAUAUUCCUUACAUACAAAUCAAAUGUUAUUUGUCAUGUGGUCCGAAUACAACAGGUGUAGACCUUACUGUGAAAUGCUUACUUACGAGCCCUUUUAACCAACAAUGCAGAGUUUUAAAAAAGUAAGUAAGAAAAAUUUGCUUAAGAAAGUAAAGAAAAAAAUAGCAACACAUUAAAAAUAACAAUAACCACGCUAUAUACAAGGGGUACCGGUACCGGGUCAAUGUGCAGGGGUACAAGGUAGUCGAGGUAAUUGAGUUAAUAUGUAC